rnacentral:rRNA from 1 species
UACGGAGGGAGCUAGCGUUUGUUCGGAAUUACUGGGCGUAAAGCGCGCGUAGGCGGCUUUGUAAGUUAGAGGUGAAAGCCCCGGGAGUCACCUGAACUUCGACUUUGACUUAAACUGCAUCGCUUGAAUCCGGGAGAGGUGAGUGGAAUUCCGAGUGUAGAGGUGAAAUUCGUAGAUAUUCGGAAGAACACCAGUGGCGAAGGCGGCUCACUGGACCGGCAUUGACGCUGGAGGUGACGAAAGCGUGGGGAGCAAACAGG